rnacentral:tRNA from 1 species
AGAUUCAUGGCGCAGUGGAAGCGCGCCGGGCUCAUAACCCGGAGGGCCUCCGAUCGAAACGGAGUGAAGCUA